GCAUCUGUAGCUCAGUGGAUAGAGCGACCGCCUCCUAAGCGGUAGGCCGUGGGUUCGAUCCCCGCCAGGUGCA
rnacentral:tRNA from 1 species